rnacentral:lncRNA from 1 species
UUUACAUCUAAUUCAAAUAGCAUUUUCCUUCCUCUUAUAUUCUAUAAUAACUAUCGACUGUCCCUAGCGCAAGUAGCAAAGGACUUAAUGAUUGGUAUUCGCUGUUUUAAGUUCGAAUUCUAAUUAAUUCAUAUUUUCAUUUAAGUUUAUUUAAUAAAAAAAAUAAACGAAGCUGAUAAUGCAUACAACUAAUUAUGAAUGCAUCUCAUAUAUAUAUAUAUAUGUAGAAUUUUGCUAGAAUACUAUCAGUAGUAAACGAGCAGUUUUACUACCUAUUUGUUUUCGAUGAUAGAGCUUCCAAAUUGACGAUCGGCUCCGUUGAACAUGAUCAAUACCACUUGAAGUGUUUAGAAAUCAAAUUUCAAAUCUUUUCGAUAUCAUUUGCCUAAUGAUCAAAGGGUUUCAAAAUUGUAAUUUUAAUGGUCGAUAAGAGGCGUUUUCUCAUUUAACGGCAUAAAGAUAUCCAAAUCAAUUGAAUUUUUGUUAGAAAAUUUUUUAAACCAUUUAAAACAAAAUCUAUACUCUUGAUCUUGAUUAUAAGACUCCUAUCAUCAUGUUUUAAAGAAAAUUCAUUUUCAGUCAUUCAUUUUUCUGUUCACUUGAUGCAUAAAAGAACAAUAUCGAAAAUGCGUGAAAUUUGAUUUCUAGGUAGUUUAAAUGAUUUAGAUCAUAUUUAACGGAGUCGAUCGUCAAUUUGGAAGCUCUAUCAUCGAAAACAAAUAGGUAGUAAAACGGCUCGU